rnacentral:rRNA from 1 species
UACGGAGGGUGCGAGCGUUACCCGGAUUUACUGGGUGUAAAGGGCGCGUAGGCGGUUCUUCAAGUCCGAUGCUAAAGACCGGGGCUCAACCCCGGGCGUGCGUUGGAUACUGUGGGGCUAGGCGGUCGGAGAGGGUGGCGGAAUGGUCAGAGUAGCGGUGAAAUGCGCAGAUACUGAUCGGAACGCCGAUAGCGAAAGCAGCCACCUGGACGACAAGCGACGCUGAGGCGCGAAAGCGUGGGGAGCAAACCGG